UUCUGUACACCAAAGAUUUUAAGUCUAGCUUUCUAUAAAGACUGAAAGCCAUUAUCAGAAGGUGCCAUGAAGACCCUUUGCAGCUUCCUUCUUUUCAGUGUCUUAAUUCUUUGGGUGGUGUUGCCAUCUGCAAGUUUGGAAAGGACACCAGUGAGACCUGGACGCUGCCCUCCUUUUCCCAAAAUAGGGUGUGUUGAACCUGAGAAAGAUAGAUGCCAAGUGGAUGCACACUGCCCAUGGCCAAAGAAAUGCUGUUACCAACCCUGUCAUCUUCAUUGUGUGCAUCCUAUAAAAAGGAUAGAUUAAUACCUUGAUGUGAACCUAUGGAGAUAAUGCCUUUCAAAACACCUCGUUGCUUCUCUCUACUGGCAUAACAAAGAUUCACACAUGAUUCUAAAUAUACUAUGCUUAUGCAACAGGA